rnacentral:rRNA from 1 species
AUAUAGGUCAAGCUACAAAGGGCGCAUGGUGAAUGCCUUGGCAUCAGGAGCCGAUGAAGGACGUGAUAAGCUGCGAUAAGCUUCGGGUAGGCGCACAUAGCCUGAGAUCCGAAGAUCUCCGAAUGAGGAAACUCACAUGGGAAACCCCAUGUAUCAUUAAGUGAAUACAUAGCUUAAUGAAGGUAACCCAGGGAACUGAAACAUCUAAGUACCUGGAGGAAGAGAAAGAAAAAUCGAUUUUCUUAGUAGCGGCGAGCGAAAGGGAAAGAGCCCAAACCGGAAACUUGUUUCCGGGGUUGUGGACAUAACAUAAAAGUGGAGGCUAUUGUAACUGAAGAGAACUGGAAAGUUCCACCGUAGAAGGUAAUAGUCCUGUAAGUGAAACGAGAAGACCACGAGUUAUGAUCCAGAGUACCACGAGACACGUGAAACCUUGUGGGAAGCAGGGAGGACCACCUCCCAAGGCUAAAUACUACCUGAUGACCGAUAGUGAAGCAGUACCGUGAGGGAAAGGUGAAAAGAACCCCGGGAGGGGAGUGAAAUAGAACCUGAAACCGUGUGCCUACAACCGCUCAGAGCCCCUUAUGAGGGUGAUGAGGUGCUUUUUGUAGAACGAGCCAACGAGUUACGGUAUGUAGCAAGGUUAAGUACUUAAGGUACGGAGCCGAAGGGAAACCGAGUCUGAAUAGGGCGACUAGUUGCAUGCCGUAGACCCGAAACCGGGUGACCUAUCCAUGGCCAGGUUGAAGCGAGGGUAAAACCUCGUGGAGGACCGAACCACGUUGCUGUUGAAAAAGCAUGGGAUGAGCUGUGGAUAGCGGAGAAAUUCCAAUCGAACCCGGAGAUAGCUGGUUCUCUCCGAAAUAGCUUUAGGGCUAGCGUCGAGUAUGAGUAGUGGAGGUAGAGCACUGAAUGGGCUAGGGGGCAUAGCGCUUACCGAACCUUAUCAAACUCCGAAUGCCACAUACUUUGAGCUCGGCAGUCAGACUACGAAUGAUAAGAUCCGUGGUCAAAAGGGAAACAGCCCAGAUCGUCAGCUAAGGUCCCAAAGUGUAAGUUAAGUGGGAAAGGAUGUGAGAUUUCUAAGACAACUAGGAUGUUGGCUUAGAAGCAGCCAUUCAUUAAAAGAGUGCGUAAUAGCUCACUAGUCGAGAGAUCUUGCGCCGAAAAUGUAACGGGGCUAAACUUACCACCGAAGCUACGGGCUUGAACUUAGUUCAAGCGGUAGGAGAGCGUCGUAACCGGGCUGAAGUCGUACCGUAAGGAGCGGUGGACUGGUUACGAGUGAGAAUGUUGGCAUCAGUAGCGAGAUGUGGGUGAGAAUCCCACAGGCCGAAAACCUAAGGUUUCCUCAGGAAGGUUCGUCCGCUGAGGGUUAGUCGGGACCUAAGCCGAGGCCGAAAGGCGUAGGUGAUGGACAACUGGUUGAUAUUCCAGUACCACUACCAUCGUUAUUAUCGAUGGCGUGACGCAGGAGGAUAGUGUGUGCUAGCUAUUGGAUGCUAGUCUAAGCGUUUAGGCAGUGAGAGUAGGCAAAUCCGCUCUCAUAAUGCUGAGGCGUGAUGGGGAAGGUUCUACGGAACCGAAGUACAUGAUUCCACGCUGCCAAGAAAAGCGUCUAGAGAGAGAAGUAGUGCCCGUACCGCAAACCGACACAGGUAGGUGAGGAGAGAAUCCUAAGGCCGGCGGAAGAAUUACAGUUAAGGAACUCGGCAAAUUGACCCCGUAAGUUCGCGAGAAGGGGUGCCUACGAGAGUAGGCCGCAGAGAAUAGGCCCAAGCAACUGUUUAGCAAAAACACAGGUCUCUGCUAAAGCGUAAGCUGAUGUAUAGGGGCUGACGCCUGCCCGGUGCUGGAAGGUUAAGGGGAACACUUAGCGCAAGCGAAGGUGUGAACUUAAGCCCCAGUAAACGGCGGCCGUAACUAUAACGGUCCUAAGGUAGCGAAAUUCCUUGUCAGGUAAGUUCUGACCCGCACGAAUGGCGUAAUGACUUGGGCACUGUCUCAACUGUAAAUCCGGCGAAGUUGUAGUGCGAGUGAAGAUGCUCGCUACCCGCGAUUGGACGGAAAGACCCCGUAGAGCUUUACUGUAGCUUAGCAUUGAGUUUUGGUAUUGUCUGUACAGGAUAGGUGGGAGACUAGGAAACCAGGGCGUCAGCCUUGGUGGAGUCAACCUUGGGAUACCACCCUGACAGUACUGAAAUUCUAACUGGCGGCCAUGAAUCUGGUCACAGGACAUUGUUAGGUGGGCAGUUUGACUGGGGCGGUCGCCUCCUAAAAAGUAACGGAGGCGCCCAAAGGUUCCCUCAGAACGGUCGGAAAUCGUUCGAAGAGUGCAAAGGCAGAAGGGAGCCUGACUGCGACACCCACAAGUGGAGCAGGGACGAAAGUCGGGCUUAGUGAUCCGGUGGUACCUCGUGGGAGGGCCAUCGCUCAACGGAUAAAAGCUACCUCGGGGAUAACAGGCUGAUCUCCCCCAAGAGUCCACAUCGACGGGGAGGUUUGGCACCUCGAUGUCGGCUCGUCGCAUCCUGGGGCUGAAGUAGGUCCCAAGGGUUGGGCUGUUCGCCCAUUAAAGCGGCACGCGAGCUGGGUUCAGAACGUCGUGAGACAGUUCGGUCCCUAUCCGUCGCGGGCGUAGGAAAUUUGAGAGGAGCUGUCCUUAGUACGAGAGGACCGGGAUGGACUGACCUCUGGUGUACCAGUUGUUCCGCCAGGAGCACAGCUGGGUAGCUAAGUCGGGAAUGGAUAAACGCUGAAAGCAUCUAAGCGUGAAGCCAACCUCAAGAUGAGAUUUCCCAUAGCGUAAGCUAGUAAGAUCCCUUGAAGAACACAAGGUUGAUAGGUCGGGGGUGUAAGCAUGGUAACAUGUUCAGCUGACCGAUACUAAUA